rnacentral:lncRNA from 1 species
AUGAGCCCCGUAUCGCCCCAGUGGUGGUGUUUCCUCACCCUCUCUGCAGCCCUCCGUCUGCACCCUGAGAGCAGGUCCACACGUCCCACUGCACAGAGGAGGCUGCUGUCGCCGUCACAGAUGAGGCUCAGAGAGGGUGUCUCAUGUCCACGGUGGCUCAGUGUGGAGCAGGAACCCCUGCAGGGCCAUCUCUCUAUCACCUUGAGAAAGGAUGCCUGCCUCAGGGCACAGGGGAUAUUAUGUUACCUGGGCCCGUUUCAGUUCUUACUGAGGGUCUCAGAAAGAAUCCAGCCAUCAAGAGGUGACUGGGGCAGGCCUUUUGAAUGGGGCGUCCUGGCAUGUGCGUGUUUUGGAGCAAGUCCUCGGGCUCAUUCAUUCAAUCGUUCUGUGCAUCAGGACAAAAGGGCUGCUGUGGGGAUCCACAGGGCUCACCUGGCACAGAGCUGGUGCUCAAGACACCCACCUGCGCUGACAGCUCACGGCUCACUGUCCUGCUGCCUCCUCUUCUCGGCCUGUCCUGCGAUGGUCCCCGGCAAACAACAGCACCUGAGCCGCUGUUUCCAGAAGGUGCCUUCCAUCCUCCCACCAACAGCUCGGGCGGCUCCAAAGUCACAGGGAAGGGCCCCCCACCAUCCAACCACUGACAUCGGGCUUUGA